rnacentral:antisense_RNA from 1 species
AGGAAAGAGGCCUCAAGUUUCCUUCUGCAGCAGCGCAGCAUACGAGGUGCACAGUGAUCCACCCGAACGGCAGCUAUGCUGCCGGGGCUGGUGAGACGUGGUCAUUCACAAGGCAGCUCGCUUGUGCUUCACAGCAGGUUGCUGCCCGGAGUCGCCAUGAAGGAAUGUGAUGCAGCCUAUUGGAGGAGAACCAAACCCCACCCCACCCCCCGCCAGAAAGCCAUACCAGCUGCCGACAUGUGCAUGGGCUCAUCGGGGGUUUUCCAGGCCCACUGAUGUUCCAGCUGAGCACAGCUGCCGGCUCCCGGGCCGAGCAGCAGGGCGUGCCGGCCACCUCGUAGGUCUUGUGAAAACGCGAGUAGUCCACCUUGUAGUGGCUCUUCUCCUCGAAGACCACAGGCUCAAAGCGGUGGCCCCACAGGAUCUCACUGGCCAGGUAGGAGCUGCGGGCCUGGGUGGUCAUGGCCGUGGCCUCCACCAUGCCCUCCAGGAUGACCACGAUCUCAAAGUCCUCCGACUCCAGCUCCUCCUUGCCCAUGCCAUAAAGCGGGCUGUCCUCGU